UACGUAGGGGGCGAGCGUUGUCCGGAAGCAUUGGGCGUAAAGCGCGCGUAGGCGGCCCAGUACGUCCGUUGUGAAAGUCAAAGGCUCAACCUUUGAAAGCCGAUGGAUACUGCUGGGCUAGAGUCCGGAAGAGGCGAGUGGAAUUCCUGGUGUAGCGGUGGAAUGCGCAGAUAUCAGGAGGAACACCGGUGGCGAAGGCGGGUCUCUGGGCCGAUACUGACGCUGAGGAGCGAAAGCGUGGGGAGCGAACAGG
rnacentral:rRNA from 1 species